CCCUCCAAGCGACCAAGCCCACGGCCUCCAUCCCCCAAAAUCACGCCCGAUCGAUGGGGACGUCAUCCUCUCUCCUGAUUCCUUCCCCAGAAUCCCGUCCGCGCGAUCUCCUCCUACCCCCCGCGAUUGCGGCCUCCGAUCCCCUUCCUCACGGCCUUACCCUGCGCCACCCGAGAAAACGCUGUCACUUCCUCCUCCCGCGCCUUUGCCCUCCCCAAUCCUCCGGUCUGGAAGCGCCGCCGCAGAUCAAGCGACCCUCGUCGCCGUCGGGUCAGGGGCGCUGCCGCCUCUCCACCGUCAUGUCAAGGGUGCCUCCUCCUCCUCGCUGUCAGACCCCCUCGAGAACCCUAGAAUCCUUUGGACGCCAUCAAAUAAGGAGCUGCCUCGACACCUUCACGCCACCAGAUCGCUGUCAUGCCGCUGCUCGCCAUAUCACACGUCUUCGCCUGAUUGUAUUCCCCUGUUCAUAUGCUUGCAGUGAAGGUUGAGAAUAUGCAACUGAAACGGCCAACAUGGAUGGUCAGCAAUGAGAAAGAGAUGCUUCCUGACAAAACUGGUUGAAUUGCCUAGCUGUUUGGAUCGCAUGUGACAGUAGAUCAUUACCUCUUAUUGCUAUUAUUCAAGUAAAUAAGGCUAACUGAAAUGGCUAACAUAAAUACUUGCAUAAAUUCUGGUCUGAUUUCAUUUGGUUGGCUCAGUGUAUAGCUGUCGGCUGCGUCGAUCGGUUUAGUGCGGUCUCUGACAUCAGUUCUUUUUCCUAAUCUGUUAUAGAACCUCAAAUGGAAUUUUUCAUGAAGAAUGACAGGUCCAUUAGCCAGUACUACAAUAUUUGAGCAAAAAUAAUUUCAGGACACAACUUUUUCAACUGAAUAGUCAUAUAUGUUUAUCCACCAUAAUAUACACAUAAUUCCUUUCUCUCUUUCUUCAUUUGCUUUCAGGGAAAAUUAUGAAUUUUGCUUGUCUCAUAAAAUUUGCUUUCAUGGACUGCCGUGAAGCUUAUCAUCCUCACUGUGUGGGAGAGGAAGACAGAUUGAGGAGUUCCGAAGACUGGUUCGUUUGUGUUGAGCACCUUUUUUUUUAAAAAAAAAGUAUUUCAAUUAUGCUUUGUACUACUCAUUAUUCUGUUUGCCCACGAUUGCUUAACUCAUUCGUUACAGUAUUUCAACCAUGCUCAGUAAUAGAAAGAAAAUGUUAUGCUAGAAUGUAUUAUGUGCAUAGUUAUUGAGACCGGACCGGCCAUCAAAUCGGCUAGGCCUUUGGUUCACUAGUUCACCGGUUUGACCGGUUGAACCGUCGGUUCAAUAAGGUUAAGUAUAACUGAUUCACUCUAGACAUAACCAACAAUAUGGCUUGGUGGUUGGUGCACCACAACUCCAUUCAGCCCAUCCUGGGUUCGAAUCCCACCAUACGCCCCUUUUUCCUUUAUUUCCUUCUCCAUGCGUGCACUUGCACGUGGUCUGCCUCCUUCUCCAUGCGUGCACGUGGUCCGGCAGAGUAGCAGGUCACGGUUGAGUGGUCCUGCGCCGGUUUUCUGACCGGCUUUUAAGCGGUUUUCGAAUAAACCCGGCCGGCCCAACCGGUUUAUACCGGGUCAUUUGCACAUACAAUCUUUUAACUGGACCGAACCGGCAGAGGCCUUGGUUCCGGUUUUUUCCGGUCCAACCGCCGGUCCGGUCCGGUCCCAAUAACUGUGAUUAUGUGUUGUCCAUGUAGAAGUUAUAAUCUAAUAAAAUUUUGAGUUGUAGACAUGCAACAGGAACUUUCAUUGCUGCCAGAAGAUAUGCAAGCUCUAUGGUUCCUACAUCAAUUAUUAGCCAGGGCAUCGGUUGGCAGGUAAAUAAAUCAAAUUAUUAUUUGCACCAUGGAGUUCGUCCGGUCUUUGAUUUGGAAUAUUGAUCAUCCUAAAACAUCGUUGUGAGGGUAUCAUCAUCUUGAUUGAUCCUUUUUUGGAUGGCCAAUGGAGCCUCAGUUGCAGCGUAAAUAUAACAUCAGAGGAUAAAUAGAACUGACAUUCAUUGAUUGUUCAGACAAUUUGUUUUUUUCCUUUUGCCAAAUGGCAGUGUGAAUUUGUAUUUGCAGGGAGAAUGUUGGUUUACAUGCUUUGACACAUGUUGGUAUUUCUCGGCCUGUUGGAUGGCCUUCAAUUCAUAGUAAUCAGCUCCUAUGUUUUGACAGCAGAGCAGUGCACAAAAGUAUGGGCAUACGUCCAUGAAAGGUACACAUGUUCUCCCCUUCUUCAUUUAUCCAUCGUCAUGAACAGAGUGGCUAUGGUAUUUUUUUAAAGACUUCCAUCGGUGUGUUGGUAAAAUGCUUACCCAAUAGGUUAAAUCUUUAGCAACUCGGCAAGUGGCAGUAAGCCUGCUGACCAUUCCCACAACUAAUGGCUGGCAGCAGCAAUCUUUGAGCAAAAAUAAUUUCAGGACACAACCUUUUCAACUGAAUAGUCAUAUAUAUUUAUCCACGAUAAUAUACACAUAAUUCUUUUUUCUCUUUUCUGCAUUGGCUUUCAGGGCAAAUUAUGAAUUUUGCUUGUCUCAUAAAAUUUGCUUUCAUGGACUGCCUUACACAACAUUUUUUGCAGUACUUCUGGCAUUUUUCUGCUUUAUGCAUGUGUUGGGUUGGCAUUAAACUAUUUAGAGCUGCAGAUUUUGGGCUGUUCAGUGAGGAAAAUUGGAGAUACAUAUAUUGAUUUGGGGGUUUAACAGUGUAACUGAUUUUUUUUUUGUUGUUGUGUUACAGCAUGACAGAAAUUUAGGAUUGUUAGAUGGUUUUCCUCGGCUAGCUGCAAUUUGGGCAGAGAAGGUAGUUUUUGUUGUGUAUGAUAGAUCAAGUUUAUUGGGUCAGCUUCUCCUGUGUACUUCUUAGGAAGAUCCAUGGACUGAAUUGAACCGAGUUUUGCUGAGCUCCAAUUCAUAUAGCUACGUAAUUACUUUGAACGUAUGCAGCUUUUUUUUUGGGGGGCAGGAUGGAUGCCUCCUGAUUAAAAAAGAUGCGGCUGCGUGUUUUGAUUAUUUUGUUGCAGAAGUGCAAACCGCAGAUCAUGUCCCUGGCGCAAGCAGUGAAUGAGAUUGCCCGGGAGAGUUUGAUGUUACAUUGGGGUUUCAUGUCUGUAUGCGCGCGUUUGUGUGGAGAUCUAACUUUCUGGUGUUUUGCAGACCUAAGUAGUUUGGAUCUGCCUGUGAUGGAAGGUCUUGACAAAUUACUUCUUGUAAGUUUACAAACUACGGCUUUGGUGCUGUUCUAAUGGAUUUCAACAUCUUAAUGUGAUGUUGCAACGGAUGCUUCAUUUUCAAAUAUCAAAGGCCAUGGCAAAGGGAGUAAACCCAGAAGAAAAUGGUGUUAUGGUCGCAUCAUCUACGAAUGGAGGAAUCGCGAGCCAGCGGCAGCCCAUAGCGCUCAGAACGCCGGCUCCUGAACUACCGUUGCAACUGCCGGACGAGCAACAGUGAUCGCGCUUGCAUGGAUAGGAUUAAGUUAGUUGGUUGUUUCCGUCUCAUUAGCAACAAUUCAGUUAAUUGUAUGCCUAUUAAAGGGCCAGUGAUUCAUGAAUAAAGCAACCAAUUGAUCCAA